AGAGUUUGAUCCUGGCUCAGGACGAACGCUGGCGGCGUGCUUAACACAUGCAAGUCGAACGGAAAGGCCCUUCGGGGUACUCGAGUGGCGAACGGGUGAGUAACACGUGGGUGAUCUGCCCUGCACUUUGGGAUAAGCCUGGGAAACUGGGUCUAAUACCGAAUAGGACCACGCGCUUCAUGGUGUGUGGUGGAAAGCUUUUGCGGUGUGGGAUGGGCCCGCGGCCUAUCAGCUUGUUGGUGGGGUAAUGGCCUACCAAGGCGACGACGGGUAGCCGGCCUGAGAGGGUGACCGGCCACACUGGGACUGAGAUACGGCCCAGACUCCUACGGGAGGCAGCAGUGGGGAAUAUUGCACAAUGGGCGCAAGCCUGAUGCAGCGACGCCGCGUGAGGGAUGACGGCCUUCGGGUUGUAAACCUCUUUCAAUAGGGACGAAGCGCAAGUGACGGUACCUAUAGAAGAAGCACCGGCCAACUACGUGCCAGCAGCCGCGGUAAUACGUAGGGUGCGAGCGUUGUCCGGAAUUACUGGGCGUAAAGAGCUCGUAGGUGGUUUGUCGCGUUGUUCGUGAAAACUCACAGCUUAACUGUGGGCGUGCGGGCGAUACGGGCAGACUAGAGUACUGCAGGGGAGACUGGAAUUCCUGGUGUAGCGGUGGAAUGCGCAGAUAUCAGGAGGAACACCGGUGGCGAAGGCGGGUCUCUGGGCAGUAGCUGACGCUGAGGAGCGAAAGCGUGGGGAGCGAACAGGAUUAGAUACCCUGGUAGUCCAA
rnacentral:rRNA from 1 species